UACGAAGGGUGUAAGCGUUGCUCGGAAUUACUGGGCGUAAAGCGCACGUAGGCGGAUAUUUAAGUCAGGGGUGAAAUCCCAGAGCUCAACUCUGGAACUGCCUUUGAUACUGGGUAUCUCGAGUAUGGAAGAGGUGAGUGGAAUUCCGAGUGUAGAGGUGAAAUUCGUAGAUAUUCGGAGGAACACCAGUGGCGAAGGCGGCUCACUGGUCCAUACUGACGCUGAGGUGCGAAAGCGUGGGGAGCAAACAGG
rnacentral:rRNA from 1 species